UAGUGAAUAGUGCACUAGAAAUAAAUAUUAAAAUAAUUAGAAUCGAAAACGAGGUAUUGAGACAUCAUAAAUUUUAAACUGAGCCAUAAAUAUUUUUAUAAAUAUUUAUGGAGUGUUAAAAAGUUAGUAUUAAAGUUUCGUCAAGAAAUUUUAAAGUUCCGAUAAUUAAUUGAACAAAAAGGACUAAAUUGUAACAAAUGCAAAAUUAUAGGAAAUGAUUAAAUAGCUUAAAUGAUAAAAGGAAGAUGACUUAAAAGGAAAAUAGACCCAAGGUCUAUUUGGGCUGGACGGCAAAGACAUGAAAUCAGCAAGAAAGUCAGGAGAAUUAAGGGUAAAAUUGGAAUAUUGUAAAAUUUGCUUAAUAAAGUUAGGACCAAAGUGGAAUUAUCUAGAGUUCUCUUCAUUUUUCUGCAUUCUCAUCAGCUAAAACACCAUAGAAGGGUUUCUUCAAGCUGGUUCUUCAUAUUUUUACUGCAGGUAAGUUCAAUUCUUGAUUAUUUCUUGAAAUUUUUGUGUUUUUGGGACUUUUACAACUAGGCCCACUUGUUGUAUUCAUUAGUUUUUUAUUCUAUGAAAGAAUUUGAAAGUUGCUAUGAAUACAUGCUGGAAGUAUAUGAUUAUUUAGCAUGGAAUUAGAGCUUUAAAUUGUUCAUAUGCUGAUUUUAUUAAAAGAAUUGAAUAGAAAGUGAAUGUUUGAGACAUAAUAGUAAAAGAGUUUGAAGAUAGAGUUAUAUGUGGAAAUUCUGAAUUUCAAUAGUUGUGAUACAACUUAUAAUGUCUAGGGAAAGUAUUAAUUGAGAAAAUUAUAUUAAUUGAGGGGUUAAUUGAGAAAGGACCAAAUUGUAUAAACUGUGAAAUUUGGGGCAAAAUGGAAAUCAGCAUUUUGCACUAAAGUAGUUUUGGACAGCAGCAGUAGUAUAACUUUGAAAAAUCACCAAAAAUUGUGGGAAUUGAAUUAGAGGGUGAAUAAAAUAUGAAAUUAAAGCUUAUUGAAUCUAGUUUCUUAUAAAAGAAACGGUGUAAGCAAUGAAAUUAUAAAUCAUGAGAUAUAAUAGAUUUUAUGAGACAAGGUCAGAAUGAAUUCGGGUUCCCCUAUUUUUAUUUUGUAAAAUCACUAAAAAUUGUAAAAAAAUUAUUAUGAGUUAUAAUUUAUAUGGUUAGAAUCCUUAAUGAGUCUAUUUUCAUAAGAAACAAACAGAAACAUCAUCCGAAUUUUGUACAAUGAGAUAAUUAAUUUUUAGUGAAGAGUGGUCGGAACUGUCAGACAACGAAAUAGGGGAAAAUUUAAAGAAUAAAAUGUACUAUUUUACUGAACCAAAAAUUCUGAAAAUUUUAUGGUAGGAAGAUAUGUGAGUCUAGUUUCAGGGAAAAUUUACGGAUCUUAAUUUGGAGCUCUGUAACUCUAGAUAAAAAUAAUUUAGUGACUUAGACUCAGACGGACAGCUUGAAUUUUACAUACAAGAAAAUAGUGAAAGUAUGAAUAAUGUUGUUUAAGUGUGUUAUACACAUUAAGGAUGUGGAAUGGAGAGGAGGAGGAGGAAAAUUGAGAAAUAUAUGAAUGAUUUGUGUAUAAUUGGUCAUAUGCUUGAUUAUAAUUGAUAAACGAUGAAAUAGAAAUGAUGCUUAUAUUUGUGCAUUAUUGGUCAUGGUUUAAGCUCAUGUGUGAAAAUAAAGUUUCAUAGUAUGUGUGUAUGGUAUAUUCGGUAUAUGAUUGGCAUGAAAUAAUAUCAUGAAUGGUUUAUGAAUUAACACAUGUUGGUAAGCCUGAUACAUGAAUAAGUGUUGUGCUCAUCCAUGCUUAUAAUACUUAUGCUAUAUGUGUAUUUGGCUGACAUAUUUGGUGUAUAUGCUUAGGCUUUGGCCAAGUAGUGGCUAGAUUAUGCUAUGUUAAAUUUAUAAGUUAUGCAUUGAAAUGGUUUAUCAUGUGGUUAGCCCCAAAAAGAGUUAUGUUUAAAUACACUAGCUUGCGACUAUGGUUGAAUGAUAUGUUUAUAUCUUAUGUGAUGUGCAUAGAAAACGAGUGUGGAAAGAUGAUGAAAUAAUAAGUUUAUAUGGCUGAAAUUUAAUGAUUAAGUGUUAAUUUCAUGAAAUAUAUAUUGUAUUAUGAAAUGUAUUUAGUGUUGAAAUGAGAGUAAAAUAAAAAUGUGAAAAUCGAAUAAAUGAUCAAAUUAAGCGGAACGCCGGAUUUGAGUACUUCUGAUCAAGAGAUAAAGUGAUAAGUGGUAGCUUUAGCUACACUUAUCUGAUCAAGUGAAAAAGUGAUAAGUGCUAUACUUAUCUGAUCAAGUGAAAAAGUGAUAAGUGCUAUACUUAUUGAUCAAGUGACAAAGUGAUAAGUGGUAGCUUUAGCUACACUUAUCUGAUCAAGUGACAAAGUGAUAAGUGGUAGCCUCAGCUACACUUAUCUGAUCAAGUGAAAAAGUGAUAAGUGGUAGCCUUAGCUACACUUAUCUGAUCAAGUGAAAAAGUGAUAAGUGGUAGCCUAGCUACACUUAUCUGAUCAAGGACAAGUGAUAAGUGAUCAUACGUAAGACCAUAGUUAUACUAUGGCAAAGUGAAAGUGAAGUACUCAAUUUUCUGUAACCGUUCCUUAAUUUUGAUCAAGGAUGGUAAGUGACAAAUGGGCCCAAAAGAAUUAAAGCAAAUGGAUAAGUGGUUGUGUGUUUAUACCAGGAUGAUGUUGUUAUUUAAGCUAAAGUGAUAUUUUCAUUGCAAAAUUGAGAAUUUCAUAAAUGUGUUAAUGAAUGGUAUAAUCGAUAAACGUUGAGUUAAAUGGUAAAUACGUAUUAGUGUUAAACUUAGUGACAUUGAAUUGUACGUGAAUUAAAUGGAAAUUGCUAGUGAUAUGAUUUAAAUUGUGAGCAUGAGAAAUUGCGAAUUGAAUGAAAUGGAAACGAAGCAUUGAAUUGCAUGAGUAUGUAUCGGGUCUCGUAAGCCCAAUUUUAUUAUGAUUAUAAUGUUUUGAGGAUAUAUUGUGAAGAGUUAUAAAAGCAUGUUAAUAAUUUUGAAAGUUUUAAUUUAGAUGAAAUUUUAUAACUCGGUUAAAUACGUUCGCAAGUGUAUGUGUUCUAGUAAUGCCUCGUACCUUAUUCCAGUGUCGGAUACGGGUAAGGGGUGUUACAUACUAUCUUUUUAUAAUUCUUACAGUCUUCUGGAGACUUCCAUUCAUAAUCAUUAAACAAAUCCAAAUCUUGUCAUAAUCUUUUCAAUUAAUUGAAAUGCUUGGUGACAUUUUCCUCUCCUUGACGAAUCUCUCCAAGUUUUAUAGUCAACUUAUAAAUUUGGGAUUGAUUUCCCAAAUCAUAAUGCAUCUGAUUAACAUUAUCCUAGAGUUAUUUUUUGCUAUAGAAUAGUGCAUAUAGUUGGAACUGAUAUCUUCCUCCAUGGAAUUUACAAGUCAUGUUAUAACCAUGGAAUUUUCAGUGUCCCAAUGAGCAUAAUAGGGCUCCUCCUUUGGUGAUGCUUCCUUAUCUCCUGUCAGGUAGCCAAUCUUUCCUUUCCCCCGAAUAUACAUUCAGAUAAAUUGAGACCAACGCAAAAAAAUUAUCACCAUUUAAUUUGAUAUUGGUGAUUUGAAUAGAAUGCGAUUCAGAGUUGGAAACAUGAUUUCCAGUAGAUUUUGGUUAGGCAAAUGAGAAAGUAGAGUUUGAUGAAGUUUUUGACAUGGCUAAAAACGCUGAAAACAUUUUUUAAGAUUUCUAUAAGAGCCAGGAAAAUUUUCCAGCUCUGAUAUCAUAUAGAAACUAGAAGGGAAAUAAAAAAAAAGAAUAUUAUUACUUAUAUUUUUACAAUAGUGAUACAACACCUAUAUAUAGGUAAUAGCAACCCAACAAUCUAGGAGUAAAUUAAUCAUUUCUAUUCUAUACAAGUUGAUUAUUCUAUAAUUACAAUAAUCGUACAACUAGCAUAUCAUAAAUUAAUCUACUUUCCUUUUCAACAGUUGAACCCUCUCAGAAAAAUCUAUCGUCGGUGACCCAUUAACUGUGGAUCUCAUGAUAUCCCCUUCCAUGAAAUUGAGAUCCUCCUCAUUGACAAUACUUGAAGAGCCAAAAGAAUGCUUAGAUCCGGUAGCGCCUCUCCCCAAUAGUUUAUCCUUCUAAGACAAGACUGGCAUUGGUGACAGGUCCACAGCCAUGUCAACACUCGUAUCUUCUCCCAGUCCCUUAAAAUGCACUUUCUUAGUAGUGCGGUCUUCAUUUGAACAGUUGCUAUCACCCCUCUCAACACUAGGAGAAAACAUUUUAAAACAAAAAUGAAACACAUCAAUAAAAAUAUCAACGACAUUACAUCAAUAAAAAUAUCAAUGACAUUAUUUAAAUUUUUUAAUCCAAAACCUUUAAAAUUUAAUAAUUACAUUAAAUUUAAAUUUCUACAUUAAUUUUUUUCAUUCACAAAUUCAAAUUUGAAUACUUCACUACUUGCAAUACAUAGUAUCACUACUAAUCACUAAUAAUAAGAAGAUAGGGGAAUUAGAUGAAAAUGAAAAUUGGGGUUAGGUCAUACUUAAUAUUAGGUGCUUUUUUUAUUUAUAUAGAACAGUGGUUAAGGUACUUGUCGACACUUGUUUUGUACAUGUAUUAAAAAAAUACUAGGAGUUGAAAUUUUGUUAUUAGUCAUCAUACUUUAAUUUGAUCAAUUUUAAUACUUGUAUUUUUGAAUUGGUCAAUUUUGGUUUCUGUACUUUUUGAAAUUUAAAAUUUUAGUCAUAACCCAAACAAUAGCAAUUAAAUUCGUUUGUUUAAAUCCAAUCACUAGUCUUGUACUAUAUGUAUAGUUAUAGAUUUAGUCUAUAUUCUUCAAUUGGAUCAUUCUAAGUCUCUAUACCUUUUGAAUUUUAAAAUUUCAAUCUUAACAAAAUGACAAUCGUUAAUUCAUUAAUAUAAUUUUCAGUGAAUAAUAUAUGAAAAUAACAAAUUAAUAUAUCAUUACAUAUAUGAUAAUAUGUUGGUCGUAUCAGAUUUUGAAAAUAGCAUAACUUAAUGAAUUUAACAAUUAUCGUUCGAUGAGAAUUAAAACUUUAAAAGUUUAAAAAAUAUAAGAACUAAAAAUAACAUUAACUUUGCAAUUUUUGUAAAAAUAUAGGUACUAAUAAUAGCAGAAUUCAAACAGAAAUUCCAGUGAUUAUACCAAAAAAGAAAAUAAUAGGGCACGUGCACGGAGUCUGAAGCAAUGAAGCAACUGGAGCCACAAAACAGAAAGCCACAAGUGUGGUGAAGCGAGGGUGGAAAAGUUUCGGCUCUUCAUGCCUUCUUCUCUAAACACGUUGCAUUAUGAUUGCUUUAAUGAUAAUUAGUUUAGUUUCUAACACAAUUUUAUGGGUUUUUAUUUAUUAAUGAAUUUUUAGCUAUUAAGUGAUGGGCUCUAUAAAUAUUUGAAUUUCUUGGCACUCGUAAAAAAUAUUUUUUAAAUAGUAUUAUUAUUAUUUGCAAAACUGAAAAUGAAAAAUAAGUAAAGUUGAAGAAGCUAUAUGUGGAAGGAAAAUAAAGGAAAGAGAACUAUGUAUGAAGUAGGAAUUUUUUUAAUAUAUUGAAAUGCGUAGCUUUAAUUUAUUUAUUUUUUAAAAUAUAAAAUUUGAAUAUUAUUAAUAAAAAUAUAGGUAAACAACAUUUAUAAUUUUUUUUUUAUGUUUUUCAAAAAUAAAAGAUUUCUUUUUUAAAAUUUCACCAACUAAAUGGAUGUUUUUUCUAACUCGCCUUAUUGACAAAACUCAAUACUAGGUGAAGAACAUGUGAGGGAUCGAGUAUCAAACACUAGAGAGCAUAAAAUGGGAAUCAAAAUUUGUUUCAAAACUCAAGUUUUAAUAACAACUCUAUGUUUAAUUAUAAUAGUGAAUUAUGUUAGAAGCGAAGCAAUUUAAAUCCUAUUUUUGAUGUUUUCGCCCACAAUUUUUUCAUAAAAGCAAUGGGCCGAUGGCAAAACAUUACUACAUUCGCAGCAUUACACAUUAUAAUCGAAAGGGUAGAGCUUGUUACUUCAAGUGCCAUUAAUAUAUUAUAGCAAAAUUCUCAAUACAUUUUUGCAACACGACACUGAUACAGGACACAAACUCAGAAUAACCAAAAAAAAAAAAAAGAACAAAUAAAGGGAGAAAAUAGAAAAAAAAAAAAAAGAUAAUGAAUAGGGCACUAUAUGAAUGAGAUUAGAAGCAUUCUGGGGAUGAAAAUAGAGUAUAGGUGAGCAGCAAGGCAAUAUUAUUCAGUACUAUGGAUAAGCAGGCACUGAGACAGGCAGCAGGGCUGAACUUAAGAUUGGGGCUUGUCCCACUUGAGGGGCUUCACAACUUCCCAGGUGAAGUCUGGUUCGUCCCUUCCAAAGUGUCCGUAAGCAGCUGUCUUCAAGAACCGACCAUUGCCACCUCUCUUGAGGUCCAGGUUGAUGGUGAUCAUACCAGGCCUAAAGUCGAAGUUCUCCUUCACAAUUUGGAGUAUUUCCUUGUCAGGAAUCUUUCC
rnacentral:lncRNA from 1 species